AUUUGGCAAGUGAUGCAGCAGCUCGCUGCAGAAUUUUCCCCUUUUCCCACUCCAUUUCCGCCUAGGGAAGGGAAGGGAAGGGGGGAAAAGCUUGUCUCCAUUAUACUUGAACCAUAUGAUGCAUUUAAUCCUGAACAAUAAAUUUACAGAAAUACUAAAACAACUUUUGGCAACGGAUCUCUUGGCUCUCGCAACGAUGAAGAACGCAGCGAAAUGCGAUACGUAUCAUGAAUUGCAGAACUCUGAAUGAUAAAUGUUUGAACGCACAUUGCGCCAGCCUUUGGUUGGCAUGUCUGUCUGAGAAUCUUCAAGUUUCUCUCUUGGAAAGCAAUUUGCUUUUUUUUUGAGGCCCUUGACAGUCCUACAAUACGCUAGGCUGUUGAAAUUAAACGUAUUGUCUCGCAGCCAUGAGGGGUUGGGUGAUUUUGACCAAAUCAAUUUUACCCGCUUGCCCUUAAUUCAGGCUAAGCAUACUUGGUCUCAGAUCAGACAGGAGGACCCGCUGAACUUAAGCAUAUCAA
rnacentral:rRNA from 1 species